UACGUAGGAACCAAGCGUUGUCCGGAAUUACUGGGUAUAAAGGGUGCGCAGGCGGGUCUGUGCGUCAGAGGUUAAAUAUCCCGGCUCAACCGGGAAAAUGCCUUUGAUACGGCAGGUCUUGAGUGUGACAGAGGAUGGUAGAAUUCUUGGUGUAGCGGUGAAAUGCGUAGAUAUCAAGAGGAAUACCAGUGGCGAAGGCGGCCAUCUGGGUCACUACUGACGCUCAUGCACGAAAGCGUGGGGAG
rnacentral:rRNA from 1 species